rnacentral:lncRNA from 1 species
AUGCCUGGAGUUACUGUAAAAGAUGUGGACCAGCAGGAGUUCGUCAGAGCUCUGGCAGCCUUUCUCAAAAAGUCUGGGCAGCUGAAAAUCCCCAAAUGGGUGGCCAAGCAUAAAGAGCUUGCUCCCUGUUAUGAGAACUGGUUCUACACACGAGCUGCUUCCACAGCGCGGCACCUGUACCUCUGGGGUUGGCUCCAUGACCAAGAUCGAUGGGGGACAUCAAAGAUGGCAUCAUGCCCAGCCACUUCAGUCGAGGCUCCAAGAGUGUGGCCCGCCAGGUUCUCCAAGCCCUGGAGGGGCUGAAAAUGGUGGAAAAGGGCCAAGAUGGGGGCCACAAACUAAUACCUCAGGGACAGAGAGAUGUGGACAGAAUCACCGGAGAGGUGGCAGCUGACAACAAGAAGCAUUAG